rnacentral:misc_RNA from 1 species
GUCGGCUAUGCAGAAUCUGAACAUCCCAUAAUCAGUGGAGUACCAGAAUUUAGCCCUGUUUUCAGCAGGGACGUAGAACAUAGUCUCAGCCAGUACACCACAUUCGCCUCCAGAAUCCAAGUUCCCAUAGAAGGAUCCUGUUCCUGGCCAGUCACGUUCAUGGUUACCACUUGCUAUCAUGUAAGGAACAGUUGAUGCAAUUGGCUCAACCUGUGCAGUAAACUGGUCCCACUGUGAAAGGUAUCCAUUUGCAUAACAUAUAUCUCCAAUGUGGAAG